rnacentral:rRNA from 1 species
AUUGAACGCUGGCGGCAGGCCUAACACAUGCAAGUCGAGCGAGCGGCGGACGGGUGCGUAAUGUAUGGGGACUGCCCGAAAGAGGGGGAUAACUACUGGAAACGGUGGCUACUACAGCAUACUAUCGGAUAACCCAUAUGGGAUUAGCUAGUAGGUGGGGUAAAGGCUCACCUAGGCGACGAUCUCUAGCUGGUCUGAGAGGAUGAUCAGCCACCCGAAGACUGAGACACGGCCAAGACUCCAACGGAGGCAGCAGUGGGGAAUAGUGCAAAAUGGGCGCAAGCCUGAUGCAGCCAUGCCGCGUGUAUGAAGAAGGCCUUAGGGUAGUAGAGGACUUUCAGCGGGGAGGCGUUACCCUCAGAAGAAGCACCGGCUAACUCCGUGCCAGCCGCCGCGGUAAUAC